AAAGUACUCCCUCCGUUCGGAAUUACUUGUCUUGAAAAUGGAUGUAUCUAGAAUUAAAAUAUGUCUAGAUAUAUCAACUUCUGCGACAAGUAAUUCCGAAUGGAGGGAGUUGAAG
rfam:Triticum aestivum genome assembly, contig: Triticum_aestivum_CS42_TGACv1_scaffold_225049_3B